rnacentral:rRNA from 1 species
AUGCUCAAAAGAACCAUCAGAGUGAGUCCUAACCUUGUAGACCCACCAAGUGAUGGGACGAAGACGAGGAGGGACAUAAACAAUAUCCCACGUGCUGAUGCACUCAAGAGCAGCAAUCUCGUGUGUCAUAACAAGGUGCCAUUUGGUAUGAACAUCACAACAAGAAGUCGGCUCAAGAACAGCAGCGCCAAUGCUUGGAAGACCAAGGCGGUCAACUGGACGAAGCGGACGAGGACGGAAGCCAUAAGUAGGCUGAGACGGGGAAGUUGGCACAUCAUUAGAUGCAUCGACAACACACAGACGACCUAUAUAGAAGUUAGGAAAAAAAUGAAAGAAUAA